UGCUUUGUAACAAGUGACAUGACGUCAGACAAGGCGGCACAACUCUUCAAUAUUUGCUUACAAACUAACGAUAAAGAACAUUUAUAUUAUCAUCUGUGCCAGUGGAAAUGUUUACAUUUCAGCCUACAAUAAUUCCACUUCCAAAUACAGCAAAUGCUUUGGGCACCAGUUCUAUUGGCAGCAAAACAGGCCCAGAGCAUAAUACUACCUGUGGAGGGGGGGCGUGGCCUGCGGGCCUGCCGCGGAACGGGGUGUGCUAGGACCGGCCUCGAAGACAGCGACAGCAGCAGCCGGAACGAGACACAGGGUUGGAGAUGGAGUGGGAGCCAGAGAGGGACAGAGACACAGACUCAGAAAAAUACAUUUUGCUGGAAAGCAAAGCCUUGCACUAUUUAUGAAAAUAAAACCGUGUUGUACCCUGAAAUCCGGGCUCUCGUGGCAGUGUUUGGUGGUCCGAGGAACCCACUAGAGGGCAACUUCUACACUACCUUUUUAUCAUUCCUUUACACUACAUUAUUUUGAAACUAUUACUGUAUAUUUUUUACCUUUUUUCCACCAUUAUUUGUAUUGCUAUUUUGAGUAUUAUUUUUUAUAAUUAUAAUAAUUAAUUUUAAUGAUACAUAUGACUUUUAAAUUUUGUUUUAGCAAUAUUACUAUGCUUUUUCGAAAUGAUUCAGCAUUCUCAUUUUUCUAGUGUAGUAUUAAA